GUUGCGGUGGCCGAGUGGUUAAGGCGUUGGACUAAAAAUCAAUGCGAUCUUCCCGCGCAGGAUAGAAUCCUGCCCGCAACG
rnacentral:tRNA from 1 species